GAUGAACGCUAGCGGCAGGCCUAAUACAUGCAAGUCGAGGGGCAGCAUUUUCUUCGGAAAGAUGGCGACCGGCGCACGGGUGCGUAACGCGUAUGCAACCUACCUAUCACAGAGGGAUAGCCCGAAGAAAUUUGGAUUAAUACCUCAUAGUAUCAUUGAGUCACCUGGCUCUGAUGAUUAAAACUUUGGUGGUGAUAGAUGGGCAUGCGUGCCAUUAGCUAGUUGGUAAGGUAACGGCUUACCAAGGCUACGAUGGCUAGCGGGUCUGAGAGGAUGAUCCGCCACACUGGUACUGAGACACGGACCAG
rnacentral:rRNA from 1 species